rnacentral:rRNA from 1 species
CGAGGCCGAAAGGCGUAGUCGAUGGGAAACAGGUUAAUAUUCCUGUACUUGGUGUUACUGCGAAGGGGGGACGGAGAAGGCUAUGUUAGCCGGGCGACGGUUGUCCCGGUUUAAGCAUGUAGGCGGAGGUUCCAGGUAAAUCCGGUACCUUAUUAACGCUGAGGUGUGAUGACGAGGCACUACGGUGCUGAAGUAACAAAUGCCCUGCUUCCAGGAAAAGCCUCUAAGCAUCAGGUAACAUCAAAUCGUACCCCAAACCGACACAGGUGGUCAGGUAGA